rnacentral:snoRNA from 1 species
AUUCCAUGACAGGGACAUUCUAGGAUGUAGUCUUGAAAGCGCUCCCAUGCUUCUGGAACAGAUUCAUCAUUUUGUUGCUGAAAACUUGUAAUCUUCCCACGGAGAGC